rnacentral:rRNA from 1 species
AGGGAGGCGUAGGCGGCUGAUUAAGUCAGCGGUGAAAGGUAGCAGCUUAACUGUUUUACAUGCCGUUGAUACUGGUUAGCUUGAGUUGACAGAAGGCAGAUAGAAUUCCUGGUGUAGCGGUGAAAUGCUUAGAUACCAGGAGGAAUACCGAUUGCGAAGGCAGUCUGCUGCAGUCACACUGACGCUGAGGCUCGAAGGUGCGGGGAUCAAACAGGAUUAGAUACCCUAGU